GGAAAAGCUGUAGCUUAGUGGCAGAGCAUCUGAUAUGCAUAUGCAGAAGGUCCCAGGUUCAAUCCCCAGAAUUUCCA